rnacentral:rRNA from 1 species
CAGUCGCCACGGGAAUACGAAGGGGGCUAGCGUUGUUCGGAAUCACUGGGCGUAAAGGGUGCGUAGGCGGAUUCUUAAGUCAGGGGUGAAAUCCCGAGGCUCAACCUCGGAACUGCCUUUGAUACUGGGGAUCUUGAGUCCGGAAGAGGUGAGUGGAACUGCGAGUGUAGAGGUGAAAUUCGUAGAUAUUCGCAAGAACACCAGUGGCGAAGGCGGCUCACUGGUCCAUUCCUGACGUUCAUACACGAAAGCGUGGGGAGCAAACAGGAUUAGAUACCCCGGUAGUCCCUGUCUCUUAUAC